CAAUGUUCACCACCCUUUCUGUAUGUAUACGUAGGUGUCGGGAGCAGAGGUUGAUGCUGAAUGACUUCAGUCUAUUUUUCUGAGACUAGAUCUAUGAACUGGCUCACGAGUCCAGGCUGGCCAGUGAGCAUCAGGAAACUAACUGCCUCUCUCCCACACUCACCCAGUGUUAGGGUUGCAAAUGAACCACACUUGGCUUUUUAUAAGAGGAUCUGAAUGUAGGUCCUCAAGCUUUACCAACUAAGCCACCUCCCCAACUCAGUUUUUGAGUAUGUUUUGUUUUAUACAUUUUUCAUCCCUCAGGUUUCCUGGAAACUAAUUGUCAAUCAGUGGCUAUCACUACAUGAGUGCUUAUACAUGCUAGCGUGUUUGUUAGCUAUCUGUUUGAAGGGUGCUCUGGCUAGAGGUCCAAUUCCGUAUGAAGCCUCUCCCAGAACAUGGUGAAUUCUGAUCUCACCGGCCCUGUCUCCUUGAAGCAGACUGCAGGGAAUUCCCUAGCGUGUACGCCAUCUUUUCCAAACCAAUGCUUCUGAAUGUGCUUCCUCUUUUGAACUCAGCAACUCGAGGGGGCCUAAUGAAGACUGCUUCUGCCUACUGCUGCGGUGCAGCAAUGCUGUUGAGAGCAGAUAUGAAUCUUUUUGCUGUUGACCGGUUGCUCAUUCCAGAGCCGUGCUGGGAUCGUUCAAAGUCCAGGUUCCCAAAUUCAUCUGAACUCACCAAAAAAGGGAAAUAAGCAUUUGACAGUUUGGACUGGAGCCUGCAAACACCCAUCACAGAUGGAAUUAACCUGUAAUCCAGCUCUACUGCUGAUUCCCACCUGUACAAUGGGACAUAAAAUCCCAAUUUUUUUACUCAGAAAUUAUCAAAUAUGUAUUGGUAACCAGUUAGAGCAGGGUAGUGAACAAAACAAAUGUAAUCACUGUUCUUAAGGAGUCCUUUGGAAUGAUCUUGACAGGUAGGAUCUGUCCCUUGAGUUGAUAAGAAACUGUACAGACAGAACUGUGCACAAACUGUGCACAGGAGCACCUGACAGUGAGGUCUACCCUGAUGCUACCUUCAGGCUUAAUCCACCUGCACUGUGAAAUAAAUUGAUGUCCCUUUAUUACCAGAAAUGCUUUGAGUUACUGACAGAGAGUAAUUACACUUGCUUACCACAGGCAUCCUCCAGAAACCUCGUGCCUGGGGAAUUAUAAUUAUUCCCUGUUACAGAUGAGGACAGCUUUGGCACGUAAGGAUGAAGAAUGACUUCCAAAUGUUACAUUUUCAAUGAGUGACACCUGGGAUUUUAAUCAUGCUACCUUGUUUCCAUUUGAAAAACAGGUAUUUGAGCCAUAUGACCUACUUGCCUGAAGUGGAGGAGCGCAAGUGGAGGGGCAACCUAAUCUCAGCAGGUGGCUCUAUUCUUCUUUCUAUAAUAUUUUCAAGUUUGUAAGAAUACUCACAUAAACUGCUUACUAAAUAAAAACGUUUACUUUUCAAAAAAUGUGCAAGUAUGUACAUGCUAAUUCAGAUGAGCUAUGUCAGGGUUGAGGUUUUUCUUGCUCAGGCUUCUGCUUCCCACUUCAGAGUGCAAUUUUACAGGUGUAACACCACAUUAGUGGUGGUUUCAAUGAAACAGAAGCAGUAGGGACUGGAAAGGGCAAACUUUUUUAGAGUGUACAUUAGAAUUAAUGAAGGACAUUUAAUACCGCGUGCCAGCCAGGAUUCCGGGCUCUGGAAAAGCGGUGGUGAGAUGAGGUCCUUGUUCUCACAGCCUAGGGAAGUAUGGUUAGUCGAAGAGAUCUGAGCCUGAUGUGUUUAGCCAGCUCCCCAUCUCUCAUCAUGCUAGGUGACUCUA